GGUCCUCGCAAUGAGGCUGAUUGAUGCCUCGGGUGUCCUCAGCCCUUCCAUUAAACUACUGCUGCAAAAUGCAAGAAUACAACCAUGCGAGGCAAGUGCAUGAACUCAGCUGUUAGCCCCAAACUUCCAGUGUUGGUUUCUACUGCAAACCGUGUGCCUGCACAGGAGGGGUCCUGCCUCUACCAGCCAGAACUCAGAUCUGGUGUUGCAAACAGCUCCCAGCCUUAAAGCCAUUUACCUGUUGGCUGUGCAUGGGAAACAAAGGGCCAGAAAACUUAAUCAAGAGCUGGUGGCCCAGGUGCUGAGGACACCCAUCGGACCCUCCCUCUCAGCACUGCUGUAGCUCCUUGGAGCCCACCCAACCCUGAGGGACCCGACUCACUGACGAUGUCCAGGACGCUGUGCUCUGAGAAGGUGUACUGGUUGUAGCCGCCCAGGUCGCCUCGGA